GCCAGCAUGGUGUAGUGAUUUGAGUGUCAGACUGUGACUCUGGAGACCAGGGUUUGAAUCCCUGCUCAGUCA
rnacentral:tRNA from 1 species